CCCCUCCUCGCCUUGACCCAGCUCCCUUGUUCCCGACCCAUCUGCUCCGUUCUUCGCACCCGCGGACUGGAGGCUCGGGGCCAGCUGGCGCCCGGGCCCCAGAAGUCGGGGAGGAGCCGGAGACCCCCGCGCGCCCCCGCCCCCGGCCUGGAGCCGGACACGUGCGUGGCGGAUCGCGCCGGCCACGUCGGCGCCGCUGCAGACUAGCGCCAGCCCCUGGGGGCGGCUCCUCAGCUUGGCGCUCGGCGCGGCACCCGCUAACCUCACUGGGGGGACCUCGUGGGAGACGCGGGUGCGGCUCACCCAGCGUUACCUCCGCUACUUUCACCCUAGUCCGAGCCACCGCUUCGCUAGCCUGGGUUCCUGUGAGGACCUUCUCACCAGCCUGGGUUCCUGUGAGGACCUUCUCACCGGACUCGCUGCUCCCGCCUUUGCUCUCAAACCAUCCAUUUACCCAAGACGAUGGUUUAGCCCCUGGAGGCUGUUGCCUGGAGGUGUCCCAUGAUUUCAUCCCUUCCCUUAGCUACCACCUGUGUUCACUCUGCCGUAUAUAGUCUCUCUCUCCCCCCUUUCCUUAUUUUGCCUUGUUUCCCAAGCUUAAGAUAACCCUCCCCACCCACACCCCCAUGGAGCUAGGGCUGCCCACUAUUUUCACUAAACUCAUAGCUCAAAUAUCAUCUCCGGCACCCCCCACCACAACCCAUUUCAAAUAGUCACCCUGUGUCACAUCGUCCUGUGCUAAGUUUUUGUUGGGCACCUGUCACUAUCUGAUCUUUAACCCAUUUAUUCCUUGUCUCUGCCCCGUGUUAAUGUGUUCAGAGCUGUAUCCCCAGGACCUAGAACAAGACCUGUUAUAUAGUAGAAACCCGAUAUGAUUGAAUUGAAUGCUCGCUCUUAUCUGGAAUCCCCACCACUAGCACAAUUCCUGGCACAUUGUAGGUGCUCAAAAAAUGAAUAAAGGUCUGGAUAGCAGUCCAAAGGAAUACAUCCCAAUUUGGCAGACAAUAGUGUGUGCAAUCGUAAGUGCAAGAGGCAGGACCAGCUGCAUAUGCGUCCAACCUAUGUAGUUGCACAGUGCUCCCAGCUUAGAAGGGCUUCGAGCUUGGUUUAAUAUUCUGGUGUCGCCAUUUUGAAAUUCGUAAUUUUUCAGAAAGGGGCUCCGCAUUUUCCUUUUCCAGUCUUACCUAGAGUUACCCAACCCUGACACCUGUCUCUUUCUUCCUAAUCUACAAGAGAUCCCUGGGCUACUGGUCCCCUUAGAUGACAAAAUACAGAACAACACAGGGACACAUUAAGUCUACUGAAAGUUUUUAUUUCCAUCUACUUCUGAGAUUUUGUAUCAUGUUAUAGUCCUUAGCCUUUAAGAAGACAAAUAAACUUUUCCAAUUUACCUCAGUAAGUUAGUAGCUCCCCACAGCCUACAAAUUCAGUCUCUUAUCAUUCAAACCAGCCCUAACUUUUCCUGGCCAUGCCCCAACUUCUACCAUCUUCUACCCCAACUUCUAUCUAGCCUUUAAGAAGACUAAGAUUCUCACAGACCCCUUUGAGAAUCUAAUAAAAGCUAUGAUCCAUCUUCCCAGGAAAAUACUUCUGCAUCUAAAAUUUUGUACUUAUGGGGAUUCAUGACCCCAGCACUAGAGCUACCACACUAUACACUGGGACUGGGAGAAGAAGGGGUUCCAGGCCUGGGUUCUGAGCCAGAAACAACUAGGCUACUGUAUUAGCAUUAUUGCUGGGUUAAGCACAGAAGUGGCUUGCCACUUUAUUUUUCCUUCAGUCCCCAGUUUCUUGGGACCCUAACAGGCAUGGCAUUCCCAGAUAAGGAUUUGAGACAAAGAGCAACAAACUCUUGAGAAGUUGGUAUGACUUCGAGAAACAAAAUUCCCUAAACAAG
rnacentral:lncRNA from 10 species